rnacentral:rRNA from 1 species
GGUUAAGUGACUAAGCGUACACGGUGGAUGCCCUGGCAGUCAGAGGCGAUGAAGGACGUGCUAAUCUGCGAAAAGCGUCGGUAAGGUGAUAUGAACCGUUAUAACCGGCGAUGUCCGAAUGGGGAAACCCAGUGCAAUUCGUUGCACUAUCGUUAACUGAAUACAUAGGUUAACGAGGCGAACCGGGGGAACUGAAACAUCUAAGUACCCCGAGGAAAAGAAAUCAACCGAGAUUCCCCCAGUAGCGGCGAGCGAACGGGGAGCAGCCCAGAGUCUGAAUCAGCUUGUGUGUUAGUGGAACGGUCUGGAAAGUCCGACGGUACAGGGUGAUAGUCCCGUACACCAAAAUGCACAGGCUGUGAACUCGAAGAGUAGGGCGGGACACGUGGUAUCCUGUCUGAAUAUGGGGGGACCAUCCUCCAAGGCUAAAUACUCCUGACUGACCGAUAGUGAACCAGUACCGUGAGGGAAAGGCGAAAAGAACCCCGGCGAGGGGAGUGAAAAAGAACCUGAAACCGUGUACGUACAAGCAGUGGGAGCACCUUCGGGUGUGACUGCGUACCUUUUGUAUAAUGGGUCAGCGACUUAUAUUCUGUAGCAAGGUUAACCGUAUAGGGGAGCCGCAGGGAAACCGAGUCUUAACUGGGCGUUAAGUUGCAGGGUAUAGACCCGAAACCCGGUGAUCUAGCCAUGGGCAGGUUGAAGGUUGGGUAACACUAACUGGAGGACCGAACCGACUAAUGUUGAAAAAUUAGCGGAUGACUUGUGGCUGGGGGUGAAAGGCCAAUCAAACCGGGAGAUAGCUGGUUCUCCCCGAAAGCUAUUUAGGUAGCGCCUCGUGAACUCAUCUUCGGGGGUAGAGCACUGUUUCGGCUAGGGGGUCAUCCCGACUUACCAACCCGAUGCAAACUACGAAUACCGAAGAAUGUUAUCACGGGAGACACACGGCGGGUGCUAACGUCCGUCGUGAAGAGGGAAACAACCCAGACCGCCAGCUAAGGUCCCAAAGUCAUGGUUAAGUGGGAAACGAUGUGGGAAGGCACAGACAGCCAGGAUGUUGGCUUAGAAGCAGCCAUCAUUUAAAGAAAGCGUAAUAGCUCACUGGUCGAGUCGGCCUGCGCGGAAGAUGUAACGGGGCUAAACCAUGCACCGAAGCUGCGGCAGCGACACUAUGUGUUGUUGGGUAGGGGAGCGUUCUGUAAGCCUGCGAAGGUGUGCUGUGAGGCAUGCUGGAGGUAUCAGAAGUGCGAAUGCUGACAUAAGUAACGAUAAAGCGGGUGAAAAGCCCGCUCGCCGGAAGACCAAGGGUUCCUGUCCAACGUUAAUCGGGGCAGGGUGAGUCGACCCCUAAGGCGAGGCCGAAAGGCGUAGUCGAUGGGAAACAGGUUAAUAUUCCUGUACUUGGUGUUACUGCGAAGGGGGGACGGAGAAGGCUAUGUUAGCCGGGCGACGGUUGUCCCGGUUUAAGCAUGUAGGCUGGUUGUCCAGGCAAAUCCGGAUAAUCAAGGCUGAGGUGUGAUGACGAGGCACUACGGUGCUGAAGUAACAAAUGCCCUGCUUCCAGGAAAAGCCUCUAAGCAUCAGGUAACAUCAAAUCGUACCCCAAACCGACACAGGUGGUCAGGUAGAGAAUACCAAGGCGCUUGAGAGAACUCGGGUGAAGGAACUAGGCAAAAUGGUGCCGUAACUUCGGGAGAAGGCACGCUGGUGUGUAGGUGAAGUCCCUGCGGAUGGAGCUGAGACCAGUCGAAGAUACCAGCUGGCUGCAACUGUUUAUUAAAAACACAGCACUGUGCAAACACGAAAGUGGACGUAUACGGUGUGACGCCUGCCCGGUGCCGGAAGGUUAAUUGAUGGGGUUAUCCGUAAGGAGAAGCUCUUGAUCGAAGCCCCGGUAAACGGCGGCCGUAACUAUAACGGUCCUAAGGUAGCGAAAUUCCUUGUCGGGUAAGUUCCGACCUGCACGAAUGGCGUAAUGAUGGCCAGGCUGUCUCCACCCGAGACUCAGUGAAAUUGAACUCGCUGUGAAGAUGCAGUGUACCCGCGGCAAGACGGAAAGACCCCGUGAACCUUUACUAUAGCUUGACACUGAACAUUGAGCCUUGAUGUGUAGGAUAGGUGGGAGGCUUUGAAGCGUGGACGCCAGUCUGCGUGGAGCCAACCUUGAAAUACCACCCUUUAAUGUUUGAUGUUCUAACGUUGGCCCCUGACCGGGGUUGCGGACAGUGUCUGGUGGGUAGUUUGACUGGGGCGGUCUCCUCCCAAAGCGUAACGGAGGAGCACGAAGGUUAGCUAAUCCUGGUCGGACAUCAGGAGGUUAGUGCAAUGGCAUAAGCUAGCUUGACUGCGAGCGUGACGGCGCGAGCAGGUGCGAAAGCAGGUCAUAGUGAUCCGGUGGUUCUGAAUGGAAGGGCCAUCGCUCAACGGAUAAAAGGUACUCCGGGGAUAACAGGCUGAUACCGCCCAAGAGUUCAUAUCGACGGCGGUGUUUGGCACCUCGAUGUCGGCUCAUCACAUCCUGGGGCUGAAGUAGGUCCCAAGGGUAUGGCUGUUCGCCAUUUAAAGUGGUACGCGAGCUGGGUUUAGAACGUCGUGAGACAGUUCGGUCCCUAUCUGCCGUGGGCGCUGGAGAAUUGAGGGGGGCUGCUCCUAGUACGAGAGGACCGGAGUGGACGCAUCACUGGUGUUCGGGUUGUCAUGCCAAUGGCACUGCCCGGUAGCUAAAUGCGGAAGAGAUAAGUGCUGAAAGCAUCUAAGCACGAAACUUGCCCCGAGAUGAGUUCUCCCUGAGACUUUAAGUCUCCUGAAGGAACGUUGAAGACGACGACGUUGAUAGGCCGGGUGUGUAAGCGCAGCGAUGCGUUGAGCUAACCGGUACUAAUGAACCGUGAGGCUUAACCUU